CAGGACUGGGUUUGAAUUGCUUUUCAUCUGGAGUGGCAAUGAUUCAGCGACCCCCUUCUCAGCAGCAGGCAGUGACAGAGACAGGAGACGAAAAACACAGCGAAUGAAUCAGACAGCGACCUUCAGAGACCCGAGCCUGAGUGAGGACAGCUAUCAAAAGGAUAGACUCUUUGAGGAUGAAAUAUAUUGAAGUCUUCCAAUUCUGGUUGUCAGUUUCUAACCCUUCUUCAUCCUCCUGGCUACUCUCACCUACCCCAGAGGACAGAGCCCUGUAGAUGGCUCCAGAGAACUCUGGAAAGCAAGCAGCUUCCUCUUCAUGUCCGAACCUGCCACAGGUCUAACAUGGCAUUUAGAGAGAUGAGAGGCAGGCUGCCCACUCAGAAGUACCAUCUCACCCUUCAGGAGGAGCUCCCAAAUUAAGGAUCCCAAAGCUUCCAUACAAGGAGCUACAUAGAAAAGAAGGUGGCGCUGCAGAGGUGAUCUGGAUGCAGUAAGAAAUGCAGGAAGAUGCCCACAAAUAAAAAUUGACAACUGAGAAAACAGAAAUCUGGCUAUAUCAUCCAAGGGAUUCCACUGGACCCUGCUGCCUCUCAGAAUUCAGUGAAACUCAGGUUUUUGCAAGGAGUAGUAGAACGGUGUUACACCCUUCUAAAGGGAAAUGCAAUGACCACACGAUCUUCCAUUUUCAAGGUCUUUGGAGAACACUUUGUCUACCUCUGCUCACCAAAAAGCAAGAAAAUCACAACAGAUAUCAGCUUGAAUAAAGAGUCCAAAGUGGUUGGUCCUACCUGGCAGUAGGACUUCCACAAGGUCAUUCAGAGACUCAGACACCUUCCAGUCUGUGGUUCUGUCAUCCCCUGCGGCCCUGGAGUCCUCUGUUAGAUCCUCUGAUUUGAUCCAGAAAACAAGAAUGUGGAGUGUCACUUGGAAGAUUUGUACUGGCCAGACCUGAAGGUGGCAUCCGUCACUUCUGCUCUUAUCCUAACAGCCAGCACAUCUGGCCACACUCAACUGGCAAGAGAGGCUGGGAAAUACAGUCUACGUGUGCGGCCAGAAGACAAGAUAACUGAUCAUCCUGAAUCCACAAAGGCACAAGUUGAAAGAGAAGUUGGAACGUCAGAGGAGGCAAAGAAACUCCACAGCCCCUGCACGAGCUGAAGCUGGUUACAGUGGGACAUAAAUCUUAAGUUUCUGCAGGACAGGGCUGUCUAUUUAAAUGCUAAUGUGCAACCUGGCAUAUCCUAGGAAUUAAAGUGCUGAAGCAGGCAGCAGUACUGGAAAUUUCAGUGUUGUUGAAUAUUCAGUACCCCUGUGCUAAAGAGCUCAGGUGUACUUUUAAAUGUCAGAGAACAAAACACAGCUCUCACUAUGCUCUGCUCUGAACUCUUCGGCCACAUUCCAUUUUUUAAAGAAAGUAUGGGUCAAGUUUUGAAUUUUCAGAGAUUUUUAUUCAGUUGGUCUGACAAGCAAAACAAGAGGUCAUCGCCUGUGAUUUUUACACAGGGUAUUAAUUGAAAGGCAAAUUCAAAAGUUCUUGGUUAAAUUUUUUUUAAAGAUCUCUUAAAGUCUCAAUCAUUGUCAGCUGUGAGAACUGAAAAUUGUCGGGUAUUUAAGAUGAAUUUCAGGGUUUUGUCUAUUUUCUUACUCUGUAUUUAUGCAGCACAUUAAAGCCAUAUUAAUAUAAUAUCAGUGAGCCAGCAAUAGGCAGGCACUUGAGAGGUAGUAAUAACUGUUAUUAAAGUUAGUGCUUUGGGCUUCCCUGGUGGCGCAGUGGUUGAGAGUCCGCCUGCCGAUGCAGGGGACACAG